rnacentral:rRNA from 1 species
CUUAACACAUGCAAGUCGAGGGGUAACACGAGGAGCUUGCUUCUGCUGACGACCGGCGCACGGGUGCGUAACGCGUAUACAAUCUGCCUUGCACUAAGGGAUAGCCCAGAGAAAUUUGGAUUAAUACCUUAUGGUUUAUUAAGAUGGCAUCAUUUUAAUAAUAAAGAUUACGGUGUAAGAUGAGUAUGCGUACCAUUAGUUUGUUGGUGAGGUAACGGCUUACCAAGACUACGAUGGUUAGGGGCCCUGAGAGGGGGAUCCCCCACACUGGUACUGAGACACGGACCAGACUCCUACGGGAGGCAGCAGUGAGGAAUAUUGGACAAUGGAGGAGACUCUGAUCCAGCCAUGCCGCGUGCAGGAAGACGGUCCUAUGGAUUGUAAACUGCUUUUAUACAGGAAGAAUAAGGACUACGUGUAGUCUGGUGACGGUACUGUAAGAAUAAGGACCGGCUAACUCCGUGCCAGCAGCCGCGGUAAUACGGAGGGUCCGAGCGUUAUCCGGAAUUAUUGGGUUUAAAGGGUCCGUANGCGGGCCAUUAAGUCAGGGGUGAAAGUUUGCAGCUCAACUGUUAGAAUUGCCUUUGAUACUGAUGGUCUUGAAUUAUUGUGAAAGUGGUUAAAAUAUGUAAUGUACCGGUGAAAAUGCAUANAUAUUACAUAGAAUACCGAUUGCCGAAGGCAGAUCACUAACCAAUUUAUUGACGCUGAUGGGACCAAAAACUUUGGGUUAGCCGAACAAGGAUUUAAGAUUCCCCUGGUAAGUUCCA